GAUGAACGCUGGCGGCGUGCCUAAUACAUGCAAGUCGAGCGAACAGAUAAGGAGCUUGCUCCUUUGACGUUAGCGGCGGACGGGUGAGUAACACGUGGGUAACCUACCUAUAAGACUGGGAUAACUUCGGGAAACCGGAGCUAAUACCGGAUAACAUUUGGAACCGCAUGGUUCUAAAGUGAAAGAUGGUUUUGCUAUCACUUAUAGAUGGACCCGCGCCGUAUUAGCUAGUUGGUAAGGUAACGGCUUACCAAGGCAACGAUACGUAGCCGACCUGAGAGGGUGAUCGGCCACACUGGAACUGAGACACGGUCCAGACUCCUACGGGAGGCAGCAGUAGGGAAUCUUCCGCAAUGGGCGAAAGCCUGACGGAGCAACGCCGCGUGAGUGAUGUAGGGUUUCGGCUCGUAAAACUCUGUUAUUAGGGAAGAACAAACGUGUAAGUAACUGUGCACGUCUUGACGGUACCUAAUCAGAAAGCCACGGCUAACUACGUG
rnacentral:rRNA from 1 species